UAAGAAGGCAUAUGGAUUCAUUGACUUUAAAAAAGUGUAAAAAUAUUAAUUCAAUAUUUUUCGUAAUAAAAAUUUACAGCAUUUACUGGUUUCUAUAACACAGCAGCGUAUUUAUUUGUUACUACGCGACGAAAUAGCUUUCAGCCAUAAUCUCAGCACAACAAAUUAAAAUUCAUAAGCACACGGCCGCGGAAGUCACUCCGAAUAAGGAAAUUGUGAGAAAUAUGUGUUUGAGCAAUGCAAACUUUCAGUCUCAGUCUGUCUCGUGCUGGAUUCUAUAAAUGGCAUUGCACGGCAUAAUCUAGUGCCCGCAUAUGAUCAGGCCUGUACACAGCGUAAUCUAUGUGUGUGUGUGUGUCAUUCAAAAGUUCCCAAUCAACUGACGUGUUGUCGGCUAUUUUUAAAAGCGAUUCUCAAGAAUUCCGUUGAAAUUCAUUGAUGACAAUAAACGAACAGCUGGCAGGCAACAACAACAGAAAAAUUAAUCAAAGAGGAAAACACAAAAGCAAACAAAUUAAACGGAAAAGAAAGCGGAAUAAUAGAAACAACAAGUGAAACAAGCAAAUCGAAAUCCAACACACACACUCAUAUAUCCACAUAUACUAUUUUUCAUUCACAAAAACCGUGUAAUUCUUGAAAGCUUACACACGAACAACUGAAUGUGCGAAUUCGAUAAACAAAAUUGUUCAAUCGAGGUGACUGACGCACACACACAUGAGCACGGCUGCAAUGCGAACGAGUGUAGUGUAGGCCGAGUUAGUGCGAGAAUUGCCGUUAUUUCCGGUUUUUGUUGCUACUCUUGCCGCUGUUGCUUCUGAUAUUUUUAUGGCAGUUCGCACUUGCUCUGCCACAAAUGGGCACAUGAAUAAUGAAAACAAGAAAUGACAAUGUCAAUGCCUCUAAUGGCAACCAAUUUAACUCGUGCACUAUUAAAACACACGCGCACACACUGCUUGUGCUGGUGGUAAUGUGCCGAACGUGCAUGAACAAUUCAUAAAUUUGUUUAGUUUAAAGAUUCAUGUGUGACCUAAAUGUAGUGACGCACAGCAACAAGUCGACAAGUUCCAUCUGAUGCGUGAAAGCAUAGUUAUGUAUGUAUAGAUGCAUGUUUGAAUUUAUAAAUCAUAUUAGGAAGCAGUUGUGGCGAAUAAACAUGUUUGUGCAUUACUCCAAACUUCCGGUUUGUUUUCAAGAGACAACAUUCCUGAUUGUUCACGACAUUCCUUGUAUUUUAAUAUCUUUAUUUUCUUUGUUGCACUUGUGCUUAAUAUUUUAGUUUAUUGCUCUGAUUUUAUUGUUGUUUUUACUUUAAAUUAUCCCCUCAAGUAGCUUGCAAUUGCUGAACGGCUGAGAGUAUAUAACUGCACCGACUUCCUCCUCGGAUCAUUGUCGAUAAACCAGCGCAGAUGGCAGAUGAAUAGUUUGCCCAUAUCUUCGAGUAAAAAAUACAUAAAUAUUCAUACAGGGAAAACACACAAUUUAGACGAAAAUGGAAAUUAUAAUAACCUGCCAAAUGACUUUUUUAAAACAUUAAACAUAAACGCUUAUAAAAAGAUCUA